AGGACGAACGCUGGCGGCGUGCCUAACACAUGCAAGUCGAGCGGGGACAUACGACGGAAGUGAAGUUUCGGAUGGAGCGGAAGAUGUAUGUUCUAGCGGCGGACGGGUGAGUAACGCGUGAGCAACCUGUCCCUUACAGGGGGAUAACACAGCGAAAGUUGUACUAAUACCGCAUAAGACCACGGGGAGACAUCUUUCAGGGGUCAAAGGAGCAAUCCGGUAAGGGGUGGGCUCGCGUCCGAUUAGAUAGUUGGUGAGGUAACGGCCCACCAAGUCGACGAUCGGUAGCCGACCUGAGAGGGUGAUCGGCCACAUUGGGACUGAGACACGGCCCAAACUCCUACGGGAGGCAGCAGUGGGGAAUAUUGGGCAAUGGGGGGAACCCUGACCCAGCAACGCCGCGUGAGGGAAGAAGGUUUUCGGAUCGUAAACCUCUGUCCUUGGUGAAGGGUGAGAGACGGUAGCCAAGGAGGAAGCCCCGGCUAACUACGUGCCAGCAGCAGC
rnacentral:rRNA from 1 species